rnacentral:lncRNA from 1 species
UUGCGUACGGUCUGGGGUCUGACAAAACGGUGGAAACGAACCGGAAGGUGAGCUCCAACGCUUGCAAAGCCGGCCUGAUAAGAGACUCAUUCUUCCAAUUCGGAAACUCUCUCGAAUCCCAUAGCUUCUUAAGCUCCGACAGCCGGAGGUAGUACUCGUACGCUGAACAUUCAGGCGAAGGAGCGGACGAUAAAUCACCGGCACGAAACGCAGAGGGGAUCGAAACCUGAAGCUUAUUUGAAAAUUUGGGCGACUUUUUGGGCAUAUCAGGUGAGACCAUUUUCGCUGUGCAAUCUAAAUCAACCAUGUUUAGGAAUAGAAGUGAAUGAAAACCGUCGACAACUUGUAUUAUCUGGUUUGCUCUAAUUGAGGAGGCGAAGAGAUGGAGGUAUUUAUAGGGGCAAAAGAGGGUCGAUGAGAAAAGCGUGUGAAAACUGGAAAG